UUAGAUAGUGGUUUCUCAAUGUAACAAUAUUUAUUUCAUCAGUAUAGCCUAGAUCAGAUGAUAAGAUUUGCUUGGAUGUUUGUAAACAUCUGAGAAUCUUUUUUGUUAGGAAUGUUAGAUAUCACUAUUAGGGUGACGUUAGUGAUUAGCCAAUCACUGAACAUAACUUUCGCGUACUUGUAUAAAUAGAUCACACCUGUUUGUGAUCUAUUUAUCACACACAUCACAUUUUCUCUUGCAUGAACUCAUUUGUUUGUGUGAUUAGAUGUGAUGGAGUUUGUCGAGUCAAUCGAGUUGUAAAACAUUUGAAUCUUUGAUGAUUAAUGAAAAACAUUCAUUGAUGAUGACUUCCAGUUUAUACUAUGAUCAUUGAGGAUUGGAGU
rnacentral:lncRNA from 1 species